rnacentral:rRNA from 1 species
AGCGUACACGGUGGAUGCCCUGGCAGUCAGAGGCGAUGAAGGACGUGCUAAUCUGCGAUAAGCGCCGGUAAGGUGAUAUGAACCGUUAUAACCGGCGAUUUCCGAAUGGGGAAACCCAGUGUGAUUCGUCACACUAUCAUUAACUGAAUCCAUAGGUUAAUGAGGCGAACCGGGGGAACUGAAACAUCUAAGUACCCCGAGGAAAAGAAAUCAACCGAGAUUCCCCCAGUAGCGGCGAGCGAACGGGGAGGAGCCCAGAGCCUGAAUCAGCAUGUGUGUUAGUGGAAGCGUCUGGAAAGGUGCGCGAUACAGGGUGACAGCCCCGUACACAAAAGCGCAUGUGCUGUGAGCUCGAUGAGUAGGGCGGGACACGUGGUAUCCUGUCUGAAUAUGGGGGGACCAUCCUCCAAGGCUAAAUACUCCUGACUGACCGAUAGUGAACCAGUACCGUGAGGGAAAGGCGAAAAGAACCCCGGCGAGGGGAGUGAAAAAGAACCUGAAACCGUGUACGUACAAGCAGUGGGAGCACAGGUUUACCUGUGUGACUGCGUACCUUUUGUAUAAUGGGUCAGCGACUUAUAUUCUGUAGCAAGGUUAACCGAAUAGGGGAGCCGGAGGGAAACCGAGUCUUAAUUGGGCGUUAAGUUGCAGGGUAUAGACCCGAAACCCGGUGAUCUAGCCAUGGGCAGGUUGAAGGUUGGGUAACACUAACUGGAGGACCGAACCGACUAAUGUUGAAAAAUUAGCGGAUGACCUGUGGCUGGGGGUGAAAGGCCAAUCAAACCGGGAGAUAGCUGGUUCUCCCCGAAAGCUAUUUAGGUAGCGCCUCGUGAAUUCAUCUCCGGGGGUAGAGCACUGUUUCGGCUAGGGGGCCAUCCCGGCUUACCAACCCGAUGCAAACUGCGAAUACCGGAGAAUGUUAUCACGGGAGACACACGGCGGGUGCUAACGUCCGUCGUGAAGAGGGAAACAACCCAGACCGCCAGCUAAGGUCCCAAAGUCAUGGUUAAGUGGGAAACGAUGUGGGAAGGCCCAGACAGCCAGGAUGUUGGCUUAGAAGCAGCCAUCAUUUAAAGAAAGCGUAAUAGCUCACUGGUCGAGUCGGCCUGCGCGGAAGAUGUAACGGGGCUAAACCAUGCACCGAAGCUGCGGCAGCGAACGUAUCACUUAAAGCGAUUCAGCGGGUUACGAUUGACGGAGCGAAGCGACGUCAAAGCGUAUACAAAGUCGAGUCGGUUUAAGGAUACGUUCGUUGGGUAGGGGAGCGUUCUGUAAGCCCGUGAAGGUGGCCUGUGAGGGUUGCUGGAGGUAUCAGAAGUGCGAAUGCUGACAUAAGUAACGAUAAAGCGGGUGAAAAGCCCGCUCGCCGGAAGACCAAGGGUUCCUGUCCAACGUUAAUCGGGGCAGGGUGAGUCGACCCCUAAGGCGAGGCCGAAAGGCGUAGUCGAUGGGAAACGGGUUAAUAUUCCCGUACUUGGUGUUACUGCGAAGGGGGGACGGAGAAGGCUAUGUUGGCCGGGCGACGGUUGUCCCGGUUUAAGCGUGUAGGUGUGUGUUCCAGGUAAAUCCGGUUCACUUUAACACUGAGGCGUGAUGACGAGGCACUACGGUGCUGAAGCAACAAAUGCCCUGCUUCCAGGAAAAGCCUCUAAGCAUCAGGUAACAUCAAAUCGUACCCCAAACCGACACAGGUGGUCAGGUAGAGAAUACCAAGGCGCUUGAGAGAACUCGGGUGAAGGAACUAGGCAAAAUGGUGCCGUAACUUCGGGAGAAGGCACGCUGACACGUAGGUGAAGUGAUUUACUCACGGAGCUGAAGUCAGUCGAAGAUACCAGCUGGCUGCAACUGUUUAUUAAAAACACAGCACUGUGCAAACACGAAAGUGGACGUAUACGGUGUGACGCCUGCCCGGUGCCGGAAGGUUAAUUGAUGGGGUCAGCGCAAGCGAAGCUCCUGAUCGAAGCCCCGGUAAACGGCGGCCGUAACUAUAACGGUCCUAAGGUAGCGAAAUUCCUUGUCGGGUAAGUUCCGACCUGCACGAAUGGCGUAAUGAUGGCCAGGCUGUCUCCACCCGAGACUCAGUGAAAUUGAACUCGCUGUGAAGAUGCAGUGUACCCGCGGCAAGACGGAAAGACCCCGUGAACCUUUACUAUAGCUUGACACUGAACAUUGAGCCUUGAUGUGUAGGAUAGGUGGGAGGCUUUGAAGUGUGGACGCCAGUCUGCAUGGAGCCGACCUUGAAAUACCACCCUUUAAUGUUUGAUGUUCUAACGUGGACCCGUAAUCCGGGUUGCGGACAGUGUCUGGUGGGUAGUUUGACUGGGGCGGUCUCCUCCUAAAGAGUAACGGAGGAGCACGAAGGUUGGCUAAUCCUGGUCGGACAUCAGGAGGUUAGUGCAAUGGCAUAAGCCAGCUUGACUGCGAGCGUGACGGCGCGAGCAGGUGCGAAAGCAGGUCAUAGUGAUCCGGUGGUUCUGAAUGGAAGGGCCAUCGCUCAACGGAUAAAAGGUACUCCGGGGAUAACAGGCUGAUACCGCCCAAGAGUUCAUAUCGACGGCGGUGUUUGGCACCUCGAUGUCGGCUCAUCACAUCCUGGGGCUGAAGUAGGUCCCAAGGGUAUGGCUGUUCGCCAUUUAAAGUGGUACGCGAGCUGGGUUUAGAACGUCGUGAGACAGUUCGGUCCCUAUCUGCCGUGGGCGCUGGAGAACUGAGGGGGGCUGCUCCUAGUACGAGAGGACCGGAGUGGACGCAUCACUGGUGUUCGGGUUGUCAUGCCAAUGGCACUGCCCGGUAGCUAAAUGCGGAAGAGAUAAGUGCUGAAAGCAUCUAAGCACGAAACUUGCCCCGAGAUGAGUUCU